rnacentral:rRNA from 1 species
AUUGAACGCUGGCGGCAUGCCUUACACAUGCAAGUCGAACGGCAGCACGGGUGCUUGCACCUGGUGGCGAGUGGCGAACGGGUGAGUAAUAUAUCGGAACAUACCCUAGAGUGGGGGAUAACGUAGCGAAAGUUACGCUAAUACCGCAUACGAACUAAGGUUGAAAGUGGGGGAUCACAAGACCUCAUGCUCAUGGAGUGGCCGAUAUCUGAUUAGCUAGUUGGUGAGGUAAAGGCUCACCAAGGCGACGAUCAGUAGCUGGUUUGAGAGAACGACCAGCCACACUGGAACUGAGACACGGUCCAGACUCCUACGGGAGGCAGCAGUGGGGAAUUUUGGACAAUGGGGGCAACCCUGAUCCAGCAAUGCCGCGUGAGUGAAGAAGGCCCUCGGGUUGUAAAGCUCUUUUGUCAGGGAAGAAACGGUCUACUCUAAUACAGUGGGCUAAUGACGGUACCUGAAGAAUAAGCACCGGCUAACUACGUGCC